rnacentral:rRNA from 1 species
ACUCAAAUGAAUUGACGGGGGCCCGCACAAGCAGCGGAGCGUGUGGUUUAAUUCGACGCAACGCGAAGAACCUUACCAAGGCUUGACAUCCCUCGCUAUCCGUAGAGAUAUGGAGUUCCCUUCGGGGACGAGGAGACAGGUGGUGCACGGUUGUCGUCAGCUCGUGUCGUGAGAUGUUGGGUUAAGUCCCGCAACGAGCGCAACCCUUGUACUUAGUUGCCAUCAUUAAGUUGGGCACUCUAAGUAGACUGCCGGUGACAAACCGGAGGAAGGUGGGGAUGACGUCAAAUCAUCAUGCCCCUUAUGUCUUGGGCUACACACGCGCUACAAUGGUCUGUACAGAGGGCAGCAACACCGCGAGGUGGAGCGAAUCCCAUAAAACAGAUCUCAGUUCGGAUUGCAGGCUGCAACUCGCCUGCAUGAAGUCGGAGUUGCUAGUAAUCGCGGAUCAGAACGCCGCGGUGAAUGCGUUCCCGGGCCUUGUACACACCGCCCGU